rnacentral:rRNA from 1 species
UUAAACUAGGAUUAGAUACCCUAUUAUUUAGAGCUUUACAUUGUAAGUAAAUAAUAAUUACGAAAGCAAAAAAUUAUGGCGGUAUUUUAAGCUUUUCAGAGGAAUUUGCUCUUUAAUGGAUAAAACACCUAAAUCUUACUUAAAUUUGUUAAAUCAAUUUGUAUACCACUAUUAAAUUAAUUAAUAAUUUUAAUUUAUAAAAUUUAUAUAAAUUUAAAAAAAAUUAAGUCAAGGUGCAGUAAAAAUUUAAGAAUGAAGUGAAUUACAUUUCUUUUAAGAGAUUAUUUAAAUUAAAAAUUUAAUUUAGGAUUUGAAAGUAAAAUUAAAAUAGAAUGUUAAUUUGAAUUGAGCUCUAAAAUAUGUACACAUCGCCCGUCGCUCUCAUUAA